rnacentral:rRNA from 1 species
UACAGAGGUCUCAAGCGUUGUUCGGAUUCAUUGGGCGUAAAGGGUGCGUAGGUGGCGUGGUAAGUCGGGUGUGAAAUUUCGGAGCUUAACUCCGAAACUGCAUUCGAUACUGCCGUGCUUGAGGACUGGAGAGGAGACUGGAAUUUACGGUGUAGCAGUGAAAUGCGUAGAGAUCGUAAGGAAGACCAGUGGCGAAGGCGGGUCUCUGGACAGUUCCUGACACCGAGGCACGAAGGCCAGGGGGGCAAACGGG